GUUGAACGCUGGCGGAAUGCUUUACACAUGCAAGUCGAGCGGCAGCGCGGGGGCAACCCUGGCGGCGAGCGGCGAACGGGUGAGUAAUACAUCGGAACGUGUCCUUAAGUGGGGGAUAGCUCGGCGAAAGCCGGAUUAAUACCGCAUAAGCUCUGAGGAGGAAAGCGGGGGCUCCGUAAGGACCUCGCGCUGUUGGAGCGGCCGAUGUCGGAUUAGCUAGUUGGUGGGGUAAAGGCCCACCAAGGCGACGAUCCGUAGCUGGUCUGAGAGGAUGAUCAGCCACACUGGAACUGAGACACGGUCCAGACUCCUACGGGAGGCAGCAGUGGGGAAUUUUGGACAAUGGGGGCAACCCUGAUCCAGCCAUUCCGCGUGAGU
rnacentral:rRNA from 1 species